rnacentral:sRNA from 1 species
AUACACACUCUGCAUAGAAAUUCUUAUGUAGUAAAAGAAGCCGAAGAGGUGUGUAGACAGAAGAAGGGGAAAUCACUUUAUAAAAUAAAACCAAGACAUGACUCUGGAAUUAAAGCAAAGAUAAGCAUGAAAACUUGAACAAUGAAAAGCAGAAUGAAAAUGAGUCAUUGCAACGUGUUUCACAAAAUUCAGCUGACCUGAGGGUGGGAGGGAAACUACCGUCAUUCUGCUUGUUUCUUCUUGACCUCUUGCAUAAUCUUUUUGUUUUCUAGACAGUUCACUAAUUGUUGAAUUUUACUGUAUAUUCAUAUAAAAAUGAAAAAGUACUAGACCAGUGGAGAAUUUGACACCUUUUCUUUUUGUAAAAGUUUAUGGUAUUAUACCGAUAGACCAAAACAGCAUGUAUAAGAGGCAGUAUCUGCACUAAUUCUGAACAUGCUAAACAUUAACUAAAAUUCACUGUUGUGAGAAUAUUCCUCGUCAUGGCAAAAACACUUUCCUUUCUACUGACAACCAGUCCUCCACAUCACAGCAUUUAGACAUAUGGGUAAAAUGUUAUUUCUAGUGAAUUGUUUGUAUCAGUUUCAUGUCUAAGUAUAAAUUUUCUAUUUUAAAAUUUAAGAACCAUUUAUGAUCAAUGCUUUCCCAACUCUUGGGUUGCUCUCCAUAACUAUAUAUUUGUGAAAGAAGA